rnacentral:rRNA from 1 species
UACGUAGGCAGCGAGCGUUUGUUCGGAGUUACUGGGCGUAAAGAGCUCGUAGGCGGUUCGAUAAGUCGGACGUGAAAUCUCCACGCUCAACGUGGAGGGGCCGUUCGAUACUGUCGUGACUCGAGUCCGGUAGGGGAGUGUGGAAUUCCCGGUGUAGCGGUGAAAUGCGCAGAGAUCGGGAGGAACACCCGUAGCGAAGGCGGGUAGCUGGGCCGACACUGACGCUGAUGCGCGAAAGCCAGGGGAGCGAACGGG